UAGGGAAUCUUCCGCAAUGUGCGAAAGCUUGACGGAGCAACGCCGCGUGAGUGAUGAAGGUCUUCGGAUCGUAAAACUCUGUUAUUAGGGAAGAACAAAUGUGUAAGUAACUAUGCACGUCUUGACGGUACCUAAUCAGAAAGCCACGGCUAACUACGUGCCAGCAGCCGCGGUAAUACGUAGGUGGCAAGCGUUAUCCGGAAUUAUUGGGCGUAAAGCGCGCGUAGGCGGUUUUUUAAGUCUGAUGUGAAAGCCCACGGCUCAACCGUGGAGGGUCAUUGGAAACUGGAAAACUGGAGUGCAGAAGAGGAAAGUGGAAUUCCAUGUGUAGCGGUGAAAUGCGCAGAGAUAUGGAGGAACACCAGUGGCGAAGGCGACUUUCUGGUCUGUAACUGACGCUGAUGUGCGAAAGCGUGGGGAUCAAACAGG
rnacentral:rRNA from 1 species